rnacentral:lncRNA from 1 species
UCGCUCAGAAGAGCUCACUCCCGUCUCCUCUCCCGCUCCCUCACCCUCGCUCUGAGCUUGCCAGCGCCGCCGUCGCCAUUGGGGCUCUCGAUCUCUGCCUCGGCCGUUCCUCUCCGACGAGCCAGCCAUUCUUUGAUUCCUCCCUCCUCGAGCUCCACUUCCACUUCACCGUCCUCAAACGAGCCUCCGAGUGCCUUUUCGCGCCCGGUAAGAACCUCCACCGCCCUUGUUGUCUUCUCUAACGAGCGCGCCGCCUUGGCUCACGUGGCCAGCAAGCUGCCGUGCCUCUCCCUUCCUCUAUUCUGGCACACCGCGUUUGCCUUGGCCUCGCCUAACUCCCGCUCGCCUUUGUUUGCGCUCUACUGGGCCGAAAGGGCGGGUUCCAUGUCGAGCAGAGCUGCCGCUCCGCCAUGGCCAGCGAUGAGCUCGUCCUGAGCUAGCUCCGGUGAGUUAGGGGGUCCAUCGUGUUCCCCUCGUGACGUAGAACGUUUUGGGAUGCUUGGUUCGCCGAGGGAGUCCAUCGGCGGUGAGCUCCGGCUCGUCGGAGGUCUCCCCCUCCCUGCGGUGACUGACGGGUGGGACCCUGUGGCCCACCUAUCUGUCGCUCGCGUGGCAGGCGAUGCACUGCACCGGGUGCACUUAGCCAAAGUCGGCCGAUAUUGAAUUCCGAUUUAAAGAAAAUAACUUCUAGAAAAUGAUUUAAAGCUUGUUAAAUUCAUAACUUGAGUUCUAGGGCUUCAAAAAUAGUGAAACAAAUUUUGACAUGAUCUAUGAAUAAAAAUCUGCAGUUUGGUACCACUACAUGUUAUGUUUGAAUAUCGUUUCUGUGUAGAUUUAUUUAAUACAUAUAAAUGAUGUUUCUUAGAAAAUGCACACAAAAUAGAAUAUGUCUCAGAAAAAUAUGAUUCUUUUUUACUAACUUUGCAUGAUUUUGUAGUUGCUGGGAAAAAUAAGGAACACAAUAUUUACUGUAUUAAUUAAUUUCUAUUGUUUUAAAUGCUUACAUGGCAGUAGUUUAUGAUUUUUAAUAAAUAAUCUGAUCAUGCAUAUAACCUGGAAAUUUUUGUGAGCCUUUCUUAUGUUAGUAAUUUAGAAAAAUAUGAAAUCUGUUGUUUGACACUUUUGGAUGAGUAGGGUAAUUUUCCCUUAAUUGUAUUAAUAAACUUGUGAAUUUUGUGUGGGCCAUGUUACUUGCCCAAAUGCUAUGAAAUUUGGUGGUAGACUUCAUAUAUGAUCUGUGUCAUGCUGUAAUUUUUGUAGAAUUUAUUGAGUUACAGGAAUACAUGCUACUGUUGUAAGCCUAAUAAAUAAUAAAUAAUUAAAUCCUUGCUAUGCAUAAAAUAGAUAGGGUAAAGUAUGUUUGGUUUAUCUUUGAAGCACUAUGAUAGCUUGCUGGUUUAGU